AGGGAGAAGGUUUAUGGAGAAAGGUAGGAUGGAUGGUGUGGAAGGGCUUUGGAUGGCAAGGUAGAGGAAGAAUGGAUGGUGGAUGGUUUAUUUGAGGGGGUGGAAAAGCGAAGAAGAGAGGGUGGCGUAUAUGGGGUUUAGGUAUGGAGUAUGGGAGAAGGAGAAGAGAUGAAAAAAAAUGGCCGCAGAAAUAGUUUCUAGGUGAAGGAUGGUGGAC
rnacentral:lncRNA from 1 species